CUCCGGUGCUGGGUUGUCCUGACAACUGGGUUGGGUACCGCGACGUCUGCUACUACCUCUCGACGGAGGAGGGGAGCUGGGUGUGGAGCCAGGAGCGGUGCUCCUCACACGGGGCCUCGCUGGCUGUGCUCCAGAGGGAGUGGGAAAUGGAGUUUCUCUCGCGCCUCAAAGGCAAAGAUGAUUUCUGGCUUGGGCUGCGGAGACAGGGCGAACGCCUGGAGUGGGUGGAUGGCAGCAGCUUCACCCAGACGAUCCUGGUGCGGGGCCAAGGAGCGUGUCUGUAUUUGAAUGACAAUGCUUUAGUGAGUACAAGCUGCUCACAGCAACGGCCAUAUAUGUGCAGCAAGCACUAUGCUCAGAGGUGACAGAGAGAGGACCUUCUCCGUGCUGAGCACUCACAGCUUCACCUCGUCCGGCAGCGCAGGCAGGGACUGGCCAGGUGGGGAGGCAAGCACAGAGCCCCGACGUGAGCAGGGGUGUGCGAGGGCCGCUGAGGGAGGUUUCAGUCCAGGCAGCCCUUUUGGGGCUGGCACCUUUGGCCUGGGAGCAGGGGCUCGACGUUUACAGUUUGGAGGCUGGACACUGGUUGGCAGUGAGAGGGCGUAGGGAUGUUCUUGCCUCAGCUGCUGGUUCGGGGUGCUCCUGGUCUCGGUAACAACUCGCUGCCAGGUCUCAGGGAGCUGAACCUGCAGGAAGAGGAGACAUCGUGGAAGCUGACGUGUGCCUGGCUGGGCUGGGACCUCAAGCACGGAACAAGUGGUUUUUCUCCUUGUGUGACCACCCCAGAACUCUUUCUUCUCGUGCGAUUCAGUCACACCCGCUUUUGUGCGGUAGGGACAGAGCUCGAGCAGCUGCUGCCAGAGGAGAUGGGCGCAGAGCUCUGCGGAGUUCCCUGGCACAGAGCUGGGCGGCUCUGGUGUGUCAGCUGUGCUGUUACUCCUAUUUUAGUACUCUGCUGUGCAUUAAACCAUUGUAAAUUCC